rnacentral:rRNA from 1 species
ACUCAAAUGAAUAGACGGGGGCUCACACAAGCGGUGGAGCAUGUUGUUCAAUUCGAAGCAACGCGAAGAACCUUACCUGGGCUUGACAUGCAACUAGUAGGAGCCUGAAAGGGCGACGACCCGCAAGGGAGGUUGCACAGGUGCUGCAUGGCUGUCGUCAGCUCGUGUCGUGAGACGUUAGGUUAAGUCCUGUAACGAGCGAAACCCCUGUCGUCUGUUGCCAUCGGGUCAUGCCGGGCACUCUGACGAGACUGCCGGUUUUAAGCCGGAGGAAGGCGGGGACGACGUCAAGUCAUCAUGGUCCUUACGCCCAGGGCUACAAACGUGCUACAAUGGUCGAUACAGAGAGUUGCGAUAUCGCGAGAUGGAGCCAAUCUUCAAAGUCGACCUCAGUUCAGAUUGGAGGCUGAAAUUCGCCUCCAUGAAGUCGGAAUCGCUAGUAAUCGCGGAUCAGACACGCCGCGGUGAAUCUGUUCCUGAGCCUUGUACACACCGCCCGU